AUUUUAAGAAAAAGUUGAGGGGGCAGGCGUUUGGCCUAUCAGUUGGAAUGCCUCUAUCCCAUAUUGCAGAGUCUAGGUUCAAGUCCUGGCUCCAUUCGGAUUCUGACUUUCUGUUAAUGCAGACCCUGGAAGGUAAUAGGUGAUGGUUCAAGCAGUUGGGUCCCUGCUACUCUGGUUCCUAGCCUCAUCCUGGCUCAGUCUUGAUUUGGCAGGCAUUUAGGAAUGGAACUAGCAUCUGGGCGGGGGGGGUCCUCUCUCUUUCUCUCUCUCUUUCUCUCUCUCUCUCUCUCUCUCUCUCUGGCAUGCUCACUCUGUUUCUCUGCCUUUGAAAUAAACAGAUAAAAAAUUGUAAAGAUACAAUUGAGAAUUUAUCAGAGAAGUCAUAGGUUAAAACUUUUUAAAUUUUGAGCAGAAACAUAUCAUAUAUUGGAGAAAAUAAUAGUAUCUCUUAUAUAAUGUAGGCUGUGCUAGACACAUUGAUUUGUUUGCCCAAUGUCGCCUGCUUUCAUGAGAAAUGUUCUCUCAUCCGCAUGGUUACCAUGGGAGCAGCAAUUUUCAGAGCCACCUCUUGGUAUCUGAUGAAAGCUUCUGUUAACACCUCUUCCAACUGCACAUUCAGUGACAACACAUUGGCACCUUGAAAUUAGCCGUGGUGAAUGUAUUUAUAACACAGAGGUCAAUGAGCACCACAGGCUAGAGCCCCUCCCUUCUCCCUACCCCAGGUUCCCAUUGCCACGCAGCAUCAGCACACCACUCUACCCAGCGCGCUGUGACUGUCCCUUUGGCUGUGGCCAUUCGUGCAGAGUGGCUGAAACAGUAAUCUUAGGAGAUGCUGGAGAGAAAGAGGACAUGUUUAUUGCCCCGAGAGAACCCUGACAACAAUUCUGGCAUAAUAGGAAAGAACAAUCAGGGCCGGCACUGUGGUGUAGUGUGCACUAUGGGCGUUGGUUCGAGACCCAACUGCUCCACUUCUGAUCCAGCUCUCUGCCGUG
ensembl:lncRNA